rnacentral:rRNA from 1 species
GUUAUCGUUUAUUUGAUAGUACCUUACUACUUGGAUAACCGUGGUAAUCCUAGAGCUAAUACAUGCUAAAAACCCCGACUUCGGAAGGGGUGUAUUUAUUAGAUAAAAAACCAAUGCCCUUCGGGGCUCCUUGGCGAUUCAUAAUAACUUAACGAAUCGCAUGGCCUUGUGCCGGCGAUGGUUCAUUCAAAUUUCUGCCCUAUCAACUUUCGAUGGUAUGGUCUUGGCUUACCAUGGUUUCAACGGGUAACGGGGAAUUAGGGUUCUAUUCCGGAGAGGGAGCCUGAGAAACGGCUACCACAUCCAAGGAAGGCAGCAGGCGCGCAAAUUACCCAAUCCCGACACGGGGAGGUAGUGACAAUAAAUACUGAUACAGGGCUCUUUUGGGUCUUGUAAUUGGAAUGAGUACAAUUUAAAUCCCUUAACGAGGAACAAUUGGAGGGCAAGUCUGGUGCCAGCAGCCGCGGCAAUUCCAGCUCCAAUAGCGUAUAUUAAAGUUGUUGCAGUUAAAAAGCUCGUAGUUGAACCUUGG